GACGAACGCUGGCGGCGUGCCUAAUACAUGCAAGUCGAACGCAGUGGGGACGGGUGAGUAACACGUGGGUAACCUCCCAUCAGAGGGGAUAACACUUGGAAACAGGUGCUAAACCGAUACUGAUGGAUGAACCCGCGGUGCAUGAGCCAGUUGGUGAGGUAACGGCUCACCACGGCCACGAUGCAUCGCCGACCUGUGAGGGUGGUCGACCGCACUGGGCCUGAGACCCGGCCCCUACUCCUACGGUAGGCAGCAGUGGUGAAUCUUCGGCAGUGGACGAAAGUCUGACCGACCAACGCCGCGUGAGUGAAGAAGGUUUUCGGAUCGUAAAACUCUGUUGUUAGAGGAGCGGUAUCUAACCAGAAAGCCACGGCUAACUACGUGCCAGCAGCCGCGGUAAUUC
rnacentral:rRNA from 1 species